AGGAGAAGGAAGAAAAGGAGAAGACUGAGGGAGAAAAAGAGAAGGAAAAGCAGAAGAGGAGGAAGAAGGAAGAAGAAAAGGUAGGGGAAUUAUGGAGUUUUCUGCAGGGCCAUUUGCAUCCUGGCUGUAAAGGGAAGCCACGUCUGACCCAUGGCAACCCCAUGCCCCUGGUAGAAGGAGCUAUGCCAUCCACAGCCUAGAAAUCACACUGUGUCCAUGGCCUUUCCACUUAGAGACAGCUGUCUCUUUGCUCCCAGCACUCCUAGUUAGCUCUUCCUCCUUUUUCGCUCCAAAUGGGAUGCUGGUGUGGACAGUGAUGCUGCCUGCACUGCACACACGGUGAAAUCCUUGCUCUUGGCUCCUGGAGGGCUCUGUGGGGCCAUGGGCACACGAGGUUCCACAGCAGCACCAGUGGUGCCAAGCAUGGCUCUAGAAACCCACAGGACAAGGAGUCACUCUGACUUGAAGCUCUAGCCCAAACAGCAAAGAGUGCCAGGGUUCUCAGUGAUGCUUGUCCCUCUCUCUUCACCCCAGCAGGGAGAUGGGGAAGAGGAAAGGAGCAGCAGCAGCUCUGACAGUGACUUGGAGGAGGACCAAGGCAUUGCCAAGGAUGAUGAGAAGGAAGACAAGGAUUAGUCUUUCCGUGCUGGAGAGGCAGCACAUGCCCUGGGCACACCGAGGAGGUGGAGAUGUAAACAGCAGCUUGUGCUGGAGGGCAACUGGGCCACUCUUAGCCAAAUAAAGAUGUUGUGGUCUC